ensembl:lncRNA novel transcript, antisense to CCDC88A
AGCCCUCAGCGUACAUGCCAGCUAAUUACAGAUGCAGGAGCAAACCCCUGGCCCAUACAUCAGUUGGGUGUGGUGACUCACACCUGCAAUCCCAGCACUUCAGGAGGCUGAAGAGAGCAGAUCACUUGCGGCCAGGAGUUCGAGACCAGUCUGGGCAACAUAAUUUUGAGUCUUGCUCUAUGGCCCAGACUGGAGUGCAGUGGCGUGAUCUCAGCUCACUUCAACCUCCACCUCCCGGGUUCGAGAGAGAUUCUCCUGCCUCAUCCUCCCGAGUAGCUGGGAUCACCGGCGCCCACAACCACACCCGGCUAAUUUUUGUACUUUUAGUGGAGACAGGGUUUCACCAUGUUGGCUAGGCUGGUCACAAACUCCCGACCUCAGGUUAUCCAUCUGCCUUGGCCUCCCAAAGUGCUGGGAUUACAGGCGUGAGCCCCCGCACCUGGCCAAGAUCAGCUAGAUUUUGGAAGCAUUGCCUUCUACAGAAUCCACAGUAGUCCGAAGCUCUUCUACGGUUUUUGUCAAACUUUGAUUUUCCAUCUCUAGCUUCAAUAAUCUACUUGAUGUCAACUCAUUCACCUCAUGGCCCAGGGAUUUCUGGGGUGCUAUAAUAUUGAAAAAUACACCAUUGUAUUUACUCUU